AUGAGCAGCAGAGCCACCUUGCCCGUGGCUGGUGCCUCCUGCCCUCCCUCGGCUGCUCCCUUCCUCCACCCAGGUGGAGGGAUCGUAGUGGUGGCCAAGGUGGGACAUGGGCAUUGCCCUGCCCUCUGCCUGGUCCAGGAUGGAGUUUGGGAAAUGGGCUGGGCUCCAUCCUUCCAUCUUCUCCAUCCCUCUGUCCUCUUCUUCUCCAUCAUCCCCUCAUCCCACCAUUCCCUCCAUCUUUCUGUCCCCUUCAUCUCCAUCAUCGCCUCAUCCCACCAUGGCUCUAUCCCUCCAUCCCUUCCAUCCUCAUCAUCCCACCAUCCCUUCAUCCCACCAUUGCCUCCAUUUCUCCAUCCCCAUCAUCCCACCAUUCCCUCUAUCCCUCUGUCCCUUUCAUUGCCACCAUUCCCUCCAUCUCACCGUUCCCUCCAUCCCUCUGUCUCUUUCAUUGCCAUCAUCUCCUCAUCCCACCAUGGCCCCAUCCCUCCAUCUCCUCAUCCCUCUGUCCCCUCCAUCCCUCCCCAGCCCAUCUGGAGCAGCAGCAGUGGAGAUGACACUCUGCCAAGGUGGGACAAGGGACAGGGUGAGUGCCCUGGUGGCCUCUCACCGCAGCAUCCCAAUGGCAAUGGCCAAAACGCAGCACCCACGCUCAAGGCUGAGGAUGUCCCAACGGUGACAAUCUGGUCCCCUGGGAAGACUAAACUGGGCAAACUGGGAAUGGUGGCCCUUGCUCCACAGUUCUGCAAACUCUCCUUGGCUGUGGGGCUGGGUGAGUUUCCCUCUCCCCUGUGUGUGCCUGGUCCAGAAGCUCUGCAGCUGCAGGGUGAUGCCCACCUUGGGGUGACGCUCCCUUUGGGGGGAUGUCCACCCUGGGGUGAUGUCCAGCUUGGGACAAUGCCCAGCUUGGGGACACCCCCCCUGGGACCCGCCGGCAUCCCCGGCAGCCGAGAUCUCCCAGAGUAUCUCUCUCUCUCUUCCCCACCCCCAGCAAAUUUAAUUAAAAGUCAUUCAGAUUCCUUUGAAAGAAAAUGUCAUCCGUCGACACAAUUACACUUUAACUAA
rnacentral:lncRNA from 1 species